UGAGUCAAGCGGUUAAAAAUAAAUCCUGUAGUUGUUAGAAGAGAAGACUUUGCUGAUACCUAAGAAGACAAAGUGUUGCCUGCGGUGUCUCCCCGGCUCUCUCAACACACCCGCAGGCUGGGGGAACACUUUCUAUCGGCCAGACAGGCACAUUCAUUACUCAUUAAGUUCUCCAGCUAGACAAACGGCGGUCUAGGGCAUCAGAAGGAAGCGGGUCUUAUCUCAGCGCAGGCACCACACUCCAGAAACGCGCUACCAGCAUAACCGGCUACCAGCGCACGCAUCCCGCUCCCAGGGGUCUUUGGCGGGGGGCUUUGCCCCGCGUCCCGCUCUUCCGGGCAGAGCCGGGGCUCUUGGUAUCGGGGAAAGGCGCUGGGACUGCACCUCUCGGCCGUCACCAACUCAGACCCGGGCAGCACUUUCCCUUUGUGCCGCUAGUCGGCCGAGAGAGUUAACAUCGCCAUGAUUGUGCGAAGGGAAGGUCUCCUCCCAUGGAUGAGAAGCAGACGCAGCUGGAGAGCUUCUGUCUCCUACGGAGCGGAGCGGAGCGGAGCAGAUUCGGCCGGCCAGCGGCCCGAGUUUAAUCUCACCCUUGAAAAAACAUCCUGAGUCACCAUGUAAGAGUGAAGAGUAAAGAGAGCUGGACAUCGUGGUGACAACACACGCGGAAGUCCACAGAAGGCAAAAUGGUGCCGGGCCAGCAGCGGUCCGAACAGAGCACAGGUCGCGGGGAAGUGCGCUGACAGCACGCCAGGCAGCCCAGGCUCGGAGCCACAGGACAGCAGCGAGCACCGCGGUCGGGUCCAGCAGCAGCCACUCUGACACUGAUGUGACUCGUGUCACAGCCAACUGACACGUGUCAGCUUCACAGAUUUUACAACUGAUAUGCAAAAGUGUUUCUGUUUUGUGGUUGUGUUAAGUGCUACUAAACCUAAGUGUAUACUUUUCUGUAUGCUUUUAUACGUUUAUGGUUGUACACAAUUUAGUAACAUGAGAUUAGUAAAAAUUAAUUCUAGUAA